UACCAGCUCUCCGAGUGGUAGGGAUGAUUAUUGGGCUUAAAGCGUCCGUAGCCGGCUUAGCAAGUCUCCUGUUAAAUUCAGCGACCUAAUCGUUGAGCCGCGGGAGAUACUACUAGGCUAGGAGGCGGGAGAGGUCGACGGUACUUUCGGGGUAGGGGUGAAAUCCUAUAAUCCCGGGAGGACCACCAGUGGCGAAGGCUGUCGACUAGAACGCGCUCGACGGUGAGGGACGAAAGCUGGGGGAGCGAACCGGAUUAGAUACCCGGGUAGUCCCAGCUGUAAACGAUGCGGGCUAGGUGUUGGGGUGGCUACGGGCCACUUCAGUGCCGCAGGAAAGCCAUUAAGCCCGCCGCCUGGGGAGUACGGCCGCAAGGCUGAAACUUAAAGGAAUUGGCGGGGGAGCACCACAAGGCGUGAAGCUUGCGGUUC
rnacentral:rRNA from 1 species